AUACAGAGGGUGCGAGCGUUAAUCGGAAUUACUGGGCGUAAAGCGCGCGUAGGCGGCUUAUUAAGUCAGAUGUGAAAUCCCCGGGCUCAACCUGGGAACUGCAUCUGAUACUGGUAAGCUAGAGUUUUGGAGAGGGAAGUAGAGUUUCAGGUGUAGCGGUGAAAUGCAUAGAGAUCUGAAGGAAUACCAGUGGCGAAGGCGACUUCCUGGCCAAAAACUGACGCUGAGGUGCGAAAGCGUGGGUAGCAAACGGGAUUAGAAACCCCAGUAGUCC
rnacentral:rRNA from 1 species